rnacentral:rRNA from 1 species
AUUGAACGCUGGCGGCAUGCCUUACACAUGCAAGUCGAACGGCAGCACGGGAGCAAUCCUGGUGGCGAGUGGCGAACGGGUGAGUAAUAUAUCGGAACGUGCCCAGUAGUGGGGGAUAGCCCGGCGAAAGCCGGAUUAAUACCGCAUACGACCUGAGGGUGAAAGCGGGGGAUCGCAAGACCUCGCGCUAUUGGAGCGGCCGAUAUCAGAUUAGCUAGUUGGUGGGGUAAAGGCCUACCAAGGCUACGAUCUGUAGUUGGUCUGAGAGGACGACCAGCCACACUGGGACUGAGACACGGCCCAGACUCCUACGGGAGGCAGCAGUGGGGAAUUUUGGACAAUGGGCGCAAGCCUGAUCCAGCAAUGCCGCGUGCAGGAAGAAGGCCUCGGUUGUAACUGCUUUGUCAGGAAGAAAUCUUCUGGGCUAAUACCCCGGAGGAUGACGGUACCUGAAGAAUAAGCACCGGCUAACUACGUGCCAGCAGCCGAC